rnacentral:rRNA from 1 species
AAACUCAAAGGAAUUGACGGGGACCCGCACAAGCAGCGGAGCAUGUGGUUUAAUUCGAAGCAACGCGAAGAACCUUACCAGGUCUUGACAUCCUCUGACAAUCUGAGAGAUCAGACUUUCCCUUCGGGGACAGAGAGACAGGUGGUGCAUGGUUGUCGUCAGCUCGUGUCGUGAGAUGUUGGGUUAAGUCCCGCAACGAGCGCAACCCCUGUGGUUAGUUGCCAUCAUUUAGUUGGGCACUCUAAGCAGACUGCCGUGGAUAACACGGAGGAAGGUGGGGACGACGUCAAAUCAUCAUGCCCCUUAUGACCUGGGCUACACACGUGCUACAAUGGUCUGAACAGAGGGCUGCGAAACCGCGAGGUGAAGCUAAUCCCUUAAAACAGAUCUCAGUUCGGAUUGCAGGCUGCAACUCGCCUGCAUGAAGUUGGAGUUGCUAGUAAUCGCAGAUCAGAAUGCUGCGGUGAAUGCGUUCCCGGGUCUUGUACACACCGCCCGUCACACCACGAGAGUUGGCAACACCCGAAGUCAGUGAGGCAACCGCAAGGAGCCAGCUGCCGAAGGUGGGGUCAGUAAUU